rnacentral:rRNA from 1 species
UACAGAGGGUGCGAGCGUUAAUCGGAAUUACUGGGCGUAAAGCGCGCGUAGGCGGUUUUGUAAGUCGGGUGUGAAAUCCCCAGGCUCAACCUGGGAACUGCAUUCGAGACUGCAUAGCUAGAGUAUGGGAGAGGGAAGUGGAAUUUCAGGUGUAGCGGUGAAAUGCGCAGAUAUCAGGAAGAACACCCGUGGCGAAGGCGGCUCUCUGGGACGGUACUGACGCUGAGACGCGAAAGCGUGGGGAGCGAACAGG